CCACAAAAAGUGACCCGAGGACGGCCCAGCGUUGGGCCCCGCUCACCAUUCAAAGACUCUUUUGAGUUUGGGUGAUGCGGAUGUUGGCUGUGCUAGAUAUUCCCACGGUGCCAUUCCUGCAGACGGAGCGUGGGGAGCCCUGGGAGCCUGUGGGAGCGGCUUCAUUAGCUGCCUCGCGCUGGCACUGCCUGACGGGUCGAACAGGGCUGUCACUAGGAAGCGCCAUCCAGUUGCCAUCACCCAACACAAUGGAAGGGUGACAGGUUUCACUGUGAGCUUGCCAAGGACACCUCUAAACUCCCCCAUGUCAGGCAGAUGAAGUUACCACUUUAUUUCGCCACCCUGCAGGUAACUGAAACUCAAUUACCGCUGCUCCUCACUUGGUUCCAUCCCCCUGAGUUUAGACAGCUCCGAUGCCUCUCAGAACUCCCCUGCCUGCUCUCUUUGCUCUACCCCAGGGGUGAGCCCACUGGAGCCCGAGACCAGCCCUGCUUGCCUUCGCUCACUUAUCUGAGCCUUUCAGCUCUCCCUGGAAGACCUUCGGGGAUGGGCUCCUGAGCCCCCAUGCUGAGGCUUCUAAUGAGGAGCUGGCCUGAAGCUUCCCUGCACCUCAGGGUUCAUUUGAAUACAGGCUCUGUUGAAGAUGCAUAAUGAAAUUUCUCUUGCAGUGACUUACUGCAGUAAGAAAAAAAUGCAUACGUGAAGAUUUUCAAUGAAAUACAUCUAUACGUGCCCGCUUGGGUGAUUAUGUAAAUGCUCUUGCUCUUUAAAAAGUAAUAAUAAACUGAGAUAUACCAAAUC
rnacentral:lncRNA from 1 species